ACGCUGGCGGCGUGCCUAAUACAUGCAAGUCGAGCGGACCGACGGGAGCUUGCUCCUUAGGUCAGCGGCGGACGGGUGAGUAACACGUGGGUAACCUGCCUGUAAGACUGGGAUAACUCCGGGAAACCGGGGCUAAUACCGGAUGCUUGAUUGAACCGCAUGGUUCAAUCAUAAAAGGUGGCUUUUAGCUACCACUUACAGAUGGACCCGCGGCGCAUUAGCUAGUUGGUGAGGUAACGGCUCACCAAGGCGACGAUGCGUAGCCGACCUGAGAGGGUGAUCGGCCACACUGGGACUGAGACACGGCCCAGACUCCUACGGGAGGCAGCAGUAGGGAAUCUUCCGCAAUGGACGAAAGUCUGACGGAGCAACGCCGCGUGAGUGAUGAAGGUUUUCGGAUCGUAAAACUCUGUUGUUAGGGAAGAACAAGUACCGUUCGAAUAGGGCGGCACCUUGACGGUACCUAACCAGAAAGCCACGGCUAACUACGUGCCAGCAGCCGCGGUAAUACGUAGGUGGCAAGCGUUGUCCGGAAUUAUUGGGCGUAAAGCGCGCGCAGGCGGUUUCUUAAGUCUGAUGUGAAAGCCCCCGGCUCAACCGGGGAGGGUCAUUGGAAACUGGGGAACUUGAGUGCAGAAGAGGAGAGUGGAAUUCCACGUGUAGCGGUGAAAUGCGUAGAGAUGUGGAGGAACACCA
rnacentral:rRNA from 1 species